rnacentral:rRNA from 1 species
GACAGAGGCCUCGAGCGUUAGGCGGAAUCACUGGGUUUAAAGCGUGUGUAGGCGGGCCCGUAAGUGUCUUGUGAAAUCCCACGGCUCAACCGUGGAACUGCUGGGCAUACUGCGGGUCUUGGGCCAACUAGGGGCAGCCGGAACAAGCGGUGGAGCGGUGAAAUGCGUAGAUAUCGCUUGGAACGCCGAAGGUGAAAACAGGCUGCUGGGGUUGCGCCGACGCUGAGACACGAAAGCCAGGGGAGCAAACGGG